rnacentral:rRNA from 1 species
CAGUAGCAGACUACAAGGAUCCCCUAGUAACUGCGAGUGAAGCGGGAAAAGCUCAAAUUUAAAAUCUGGCGGUCUCUGGCCGUCCGAGUUGUAAUCUAGAGAAGUGAUGCCCGCGCUGGACCGUGUACAAGUCUCCUGGAAUGGAGCGUCAUAGAGGGUGAGAAUCCCGUCUCUGACACGGACUACCAGGGCUUUGUGGUAUCCUCUCAAAGAGUCGAGUUGUUUGGGAAUGCAGCUCUAAAUGGGUGGUAAAUUCCAUCUAAAGCUAAAUAUUGGCGAGAGACCGAUAGCGAACAAGUACCGUGAGGGAAAGAUGAAAAGAACUUUGGAAAGAGAGUUAAACAGUACGUGAAAUUGCUGAAAGGGAAACGCUUGAAGUCAGUCGCGUUGGCCAGGAAUCAGCUUCGCUCUUGCGUGGUGUACUUUCUGGUUGACGGGUCAGCAUCAAUUUUGACUGCUGGAAAAAGGCUUAGGGAAUGUGGCAGCUUCGGCUGUGUUAUAGCCCUUUGUCACAUACAGCGGUUGGGAUUGAGGAACUCAGCACGCCGCAAGGCCGGGUUUCGACCACGUUCGUGCUUAGGAUGCUGGCAUAAUGGCUUUAAGCGACCCGUCUUGAAACACGGACCAAGGAGUCUAACAUGCCUGCGAGUGUUUGGGUGGUAAACCCGAGCGCGUAAUGAAAGUGAAAGUUGAGAUCCCUGUCGUGGGGAGCAUCGACGCCCGGACCUGAACUUUUGUGACGGAUCCGCGGUAGAGCAUGUAUGUUGGGACCCGAAAGAUGGUGAACUAUGCCUGAAUAGGGUGAAGCCAGAGGAAACUCUGGUGGAGGCUCGUAGCGAUUCUGACGUGCAAAUCGAUCGUCAAAUUUGGGUAUAGGGGCGAAAGACUAAUCGAACCAUCUAGUAGCUGGUUCCUGCGGU